rnacentral:rRNA from 1 species
UACAACUUUCAGCAACGGAUCUCUUGGCUCUCGCAUCGAUGAAGAACGCAGCGAAAUGCGAUAAGUAAUGUGAAUUGCAGAAUUCAGUGAAUCAUCGAAUCUUUGAACGCACCUUGCGCCUUUUGGUAUUCCGAGAGGCAUGCCUGUUUGAGUGUCAUUAAA